UACCAGCACCCCGAGUGGUCGGGACGAUUAUUGGGCCUAAAGCAUCCGUAGCCGGUUCUACAAGUCUUCCGUUAAAUCCACCUGCUUAACAGAUGGGCUGCGGAGGAUACUAUAGAGCUAGGAGGCGGGAGAGGCAAGCGGUACUUAGUGGGUAGGGGUAAAAUCCGUUGAUCCAUUGAAGACCACCAGUGGCGAAGGCGGCUUGCCAGAACGCACUCGACGGUGAGGGAGUGAAAGCUGGGGGAGCAAACCGGG
rnacentral:rRNA from 1 species